AAAAUUUUUAUCUCUCUCUUAUUUUUUUCAACCUAAUAUGCAUAUGUUCAAUUUUUUUUAUACUGUGUGUUACUAUGUCCAAUUUCCCACUCUCUCGUUCAUCAGUGGUACAAAUCUCAAAUUUAUUUGGAUAUGCUUGGGAGUGCACAUUUAUAAAGUAUGAAGAAGAGACAAUAUCAAUGCUACUUUGGUUGUUCUAUAGGCAACAAUAACUAAAUAUUAUUUAUACAUAUUCUAAGCAUGGGAUGUCCAUAGACAUCAAACAUCCUUCAAAGAAUCAUAUCGGAUGAUGCAUAUGUUAGCCAAUGUUCUCACGCUCCUGCCGCAUACGUGCAGUCACAGAUAAGGGACAUAAUUCUACACAAUGCAGUGGAGUGAAUGGUUCUCUAGUAACAUAGAGUUGAGUGAGAUUCUUUACUCAGAGAAUAUAUUUCAUGCCUAACUUAAAAGCAUAUAUGUUGCUAUUCAACCUCUUCCAGGAUCUAAUAAUUUUGGAGUAUGUAAAAUGUGUAGAAAAUGUAUAUUGUAGUUUUUAGUGGAGAAAAAAGACAUAGCAUUGAGACUUGUCAAAAAGAAAAAAAUAAGAAAAAGCUUGAACACUUCAAAGAUCUCAAUAGUUAAUAGCAUAUGCAUAUACUAUCGCUGAUUUUAGUAUUUUUGCUUUGUAGGUUUGGCUUAGAGCCUCUACUUUCUUACUAUCUUGUUAUUGCUAUUGUCUUCUUAAAUGCUGUGUUUUUGUUUUCUUUGAGUUGAGGGUCUUUUGAAGACAACCUCUCUAUCUUAGAAGAUAGCGGUCAGGUUUGCGCACAUUUUACCCUCCUCAAACUCCACUUGUGGACUAUACUAAAUAUGGUAUUGUUGUAUUAGGUAACUGAGGUGUAUGUGGUCAUGAAAAUGCAACAAUAAAGCACCUAGAUGAUGAAGUGUCGAGGUCUUACAAAAUAAAUCAUUUAGUGAUGAUAAAUUUGAAUAGGGUCAAUAAGAUCAGUGAUUACUUAUGUAGUUAAGGAUUUUAUCAAAUAAGAAGUUGAAGUUCAUUGGGCAUGGUGAUUUUGGCAUAAAUUGAUUAACUUGUUAUUAUGGGGGUGGGGGGAAUAUAAUAAUAAAAUUCAAUUUUAUGAGGUAAAUAGUAGUUACAGCGCAAGGAAUUUAUAACCUAGGCAUAUCUUUGUUUGAUUAAAUUUAACUUAUGAAGAGAACUUUUUGAGCAGCUCUUUUUGUAUUUCGGAAGCCUAUAGUAUGAGAUUCGAUUUUUUCAUCAUUCAGCGAAGUAUCUUGGUUAACAAUAUUUCCACCAAGUUGAUGCCCUUAUUAUGUAAGAGAAAGACUGAAACACAUAUUUUAUAUAUAGAUCGACUUAUCUUUUAAUCUACUUGCAAUUAAUGUUCUUUUCUUGUUUACAAUCCCAGUCUUUCCUCUGUUUUCAAACUUUACUGGUUUCUGUCGGAAAUGUAUCAUCAUUCAAUGUCUCUACUAAAAUGUACAGUAUUAAAAUUUUUGAUUGACUUUCUAAAGUUCUUUAUGAGCAUUGGCCCCAUCCACCAAGUAAUCAUGGAUACUUUGAGCGUGUAAGUUAAAUGAAAUUGAUUGUUGAGUUAAAAUGCGAGUUCAGUAAAAUUAUGCUACAAUUUCUCCUCUCACAAUUUUCAUCUUUCUUCAUCUGAUGUAUUGCCUUUGAUCUAUCUUCGACAGAAGAGACAAAGUACGAAACACGUCUAAUAAUUUUUCUACGAUGGUUAGUCGUAAAAUUACUUUUGAUGGUAUAGCAAAUGAUUACAGCUGAAAGAAGUAGUGUAAACCAUUGUAGAAUUUAAUUGGGUUGUUCUCUGAUCUGUGACUUUUAUAUUGCAUGUACAAAUUUUGGAGAGCGUAUAAGCUUUCUGGAAAAAGAAGUGGGAAGUGAACCGAGGAGCUCUGAAGGACAAUAGAAAAUUUAUGUGAACUGUCAUAUAUGAGUUAUGACUUCUACUUGCUUCAAUCAUGCCGGAUAUUUUCUUUUUACAUUUUUUAUGUACUACUUUAAUUUUUUUCUACUCUUUAUUGAUAUUUUUCAUUGCUCAAUGACUAUAAAAUAUUGGGCCCGUACUAGCAUGGGCCUUGCCCAUCUAGUAAUUACAAUAAAAGAUUCUUUUAUAUAUAUAAAAAAUAAUAUGAUCAUUAUUUUAGUUAAA